CUUGUCACCAUUGCCCUGCUGCUUAAGUCACCAUGUUCAGCCAGGUGGAGAGAGGGUAGGGAAUCCUCCAUGUCACGUCUUGUCUGUGUAUUGGCUCUGUCUCAGGGAAAGAGCACAUUGAGAACAGAUCCAUUCAUCACCAUCCCAUCCAGCAGCCUGGUGUGCGACGGCUUGGAGGUAGCAGUGAUGCCCUGGUGCUUUGAUUCAUGCAAUCAGUAAUCUUAAGACUUAACCUAAAAGGGUGGAAAAUGCAGUGUGACCCAGAAGAUAAGUGAUGAUUGUUGUGUGUGACAAAGUAACUGGGCUACAGUUCAUGUCAACAAAUGAAGCCUCCUGAGUCCAACCAAAUGAUAAAUAUCCUUUUAUUUUUCAUUUCUUAAAUCUUUGCAUUGAAGUUGACCUUAUUUUUAGCAGUAAAUAAAUGUGAACAAAUUUGGGA